UGCGAAUACCGGAGAAUGUUAUCACGGGAGACACACGGCGGGUGCUAACGUCCGUCGUGAAGAGGGAAACAACCCAGACCGCCAGCUAAGGUCCCAAAGUCAUGGUUAAGGGGGAAACGAUGUGGGAAGGCCCAGACAGCCAGGAUGUUGGCUUAGAAGCAGCCAUCAUUUAAAGAAAGCGUAAUAGCUCACUGGUCGAGUCGGCCUGCGCGGAAGAUGUA
rnacentral:rRNA from 1 species